UGGGUGAUCUCGCCCUGCACUUCGGGAUAAGCUUGGGAAACUGGGUCUAAUACCGGAUAGGAGCCAUCUUUAGUGUGGUGGUUGGAAAGUUUUUUCGGUGUAGGAUGAGCUCGCGGCCUAUCAGCUUGUUGGUGGGGUAAUGGCCUACCAAGGCGGCGACGGGUAGCCGGCCUGAGAGGGUGUACGGCCACAUUGGGACUGAGAUACGGCUCAG
rnacentral:rRNA from 1 species